UAAGGAAUAUUGGUCAAUGGACGCAAGUCUGAACCAGCCAUGCCGCGUGAAGGAUGAAGGUCCUCUGGAUUGUAAACUUCUUUUAUAUGGGACGAAACCCCCGAAUUCUUUCGGGAUUGACGGUACCAUAAGAAUAAGCACCGGCUAACUCCGUGCCAGCAGCCGCGGUAAUACGGAGGGUGCAAGCGUUAUCCGGAUUCACUGGGUUUAAAGGGUGCGUAGGAGGGCAGGUAAGUCAGUGGUGAAAUCUCCGAGCUUAACUUGGAAACUGCCGUUGAUACUAUCUGUCUUGAAUAUUGUGGAGGUGAGCGGAAUAUGUCAUGUAGCGGUGAAAUGCUUAGAUAUGACAUAGAACACCAAUUGCGAAGGCAGCUCGCUACACAUAUAUUGACUCUGAGGCACGAAAGCGUGGGGAUCAAACAGGAUUAGAUACCCUGGUAGUCCACGCCCUAAACGAUGGAUACUCGACAUACGCGAUAC
rnacentral:rRNA from 1 species